rnacentral:tRNA from 1 species
GUCAGGAUGGCCGAGCGGUCUAAGGCGCUGCGUUCAGGUCGCAGCCGGGUCUUGCUGGCGUGGCUUCGAAUCCCACUUCUGACA